CCAAUAGCGUAUAUUAAAGUUGUUGCAGUUAAAAAGCUCGUAGUUGAAUUUCGGAACCAAUAUGUCGGUCGUGCUUCGGUACGUACUUGCAUUAUUGGUUUCUCUCUUCUGAAGAACCAUGAUGUCAUUAAUUUGGUGUCUUGGGGAAUCAGGACUGUUACUUUGAAAAAAUUAGAGUGUUUAAAGCAGGCUCACGCUUGAAUACAUUAGCAUGGAAUAAUGAAAUAGGACGUUUGAUUCUAUUUUGUUGGUUUCUAGGAUCGACGUAAUGAUUAAUAGGGAUAGUUGGGGGCAUUAGUAUUCAAUUGUCAGAGGUGAAAUUCUUUGAUUUAUUGAAGACUAACUACUGCGAAAGCAUUUGCCAAGGAUGUUUUCAUUAAUCAAGAACGAAAGUUAGGGGAUCGAAGACGAUCAGAUACCGUCGUAGUCUUAACCAUAAACUAUGCCGACUAGGGAUCGGAUGAUGUUAAUUUUUUAAUGACUCAUUCGGCGCCUUACG
rnacentral:rRNA from 1 species